rnacentral:rRNA from 1 species
UACGUAGGCAGCGAGCGUUGUUCGGAAUUACUGGGCGUAAAGAGUGUGUAGGCGGUGCUCCCAGUCUGUUGUGAAAUCUCCCGGCUUAACUGGGAGGGUGCAGCGGAAACUAGAGUGCUAGAGGGUGGGAGAGGUAAGCGGAAUUCCUGGUGUAGCGGUGAAAUGCGUAGAUAUCAGGAAGAACACCCGUGGCGAAGGCGGCACUCUGGGACGGUACUGACGCUGAGACGCGAAAGCGUGGGGAGCGAACAGG